GAUGAGAUUUCCCAUAGUGUUAAACUAGUAAGAUCCCUCGAAGAUGACGAGGUUGAUAGGUCAGAGGUGGAAGCAUGGUGACAUGUGCAGCUGACUGAUACUAAUCGAUCGAGGACUUAACCAAAA
rnacentral:rRNA from 1 species